rnacentral:lncRNA from 1 species
UUUGCCAGAGGAUGGAAGCUACGAUCUCUUUGGAAGGUAAAUCCACUUGACUUUCAAAAACUUCUUCAAGCCACGCGUCCAUUCGAUUUCUAUUAUAGGUUGAAUGAGGAAUUUGUAUUUUUUGGUGGGACCAAAUCUUUGAUGUCCAUGGGCAAAACAACAGAAAGUGUUCGGUAGUUUCAGGGGUGUGCAUAGAACAGAGUUGACAGAGAGGGUCUGGUAAAAUGUGUCGUCGAAAGAGAUUAAAUUUGGUAGGGAGAGCAUUAUGACACAAUGACCAGAUAAAAACUUUAAUCCUGGGAGGGGUAUUGAGAUGCCAUAUAGAUCGCCAGAGAUGGGCUGAUGGCUUAUAAGAGGAUGAGGGAAGGUUGGGGUUCGUAGGGUAGGCUAAUUGUCUAAGGAAGUUAUAGGCCGAUUUAACUGAAUACUGACCUGAGAUUGUUCCUGUCCAGAUGAGAUGGUCAGCUGAAGGAGCAUGACUUAAUGGAAUAGUGAGUAUCUCCUCAACAAUAUGCCGGUCAAAAUGCUGAUGAAGAAGAGAAAGAUUCCAAACCUGAGCAGGAGAGGUUAUGAAGCCAGCAACCAGAUGAGAUUCUGAUCGAGGUGCUGGUCCACCUAUUAUGCCAGAGGUA